rnacentral:tRNA from 1 species
CGGGGCGUAGCGCAGAUGGCAGCGCGCAUGGUUCGGGACCAUGAGGUCGCUGGUUCAAAUCCAGUCGCCCCGACCG